rnacentral:rRNA from 1 species
UACGGGGGGAGCAAGCGUUGUUCGGAUUUACUGGGCGUAAAGGGCGCGUAGGCGGCCACCGCAAGUCGGCUGUGAAAUCUCCGGGCUUAACCCGGAAAGGUCAGCCGAUACUGCGGGGCUAGAGUGCAGAAGGGGCAACUGGAAUUCUCGGUGUAGCGGUGAAAUGCGUAGAUAUCGAGAGGAACACCUGCGGCGAAGGCGGGUUGCUGGGCUGACACUGACGCUGAUGCGCGAAAGCGUGGGGAGCAAACAGG